rnacentral:rRNA from 1 species
CCUACGGGAGGCAGCAGUGGGGAAUCUUCCGCAAUGGACGAAAGUCUGACGGAGCAACGCCGCGUGAGUGAUGACGGCCUUCGGGUUGUAAAGCUCUGUUAAUCGGGACGAAAGGUCCUCUUGCGAAUAGUUAGAGGAAUUGACGGUACCGGAAUAGAAAGCCACGGCUAACUACGUGCCAGCAGCCGCGGUAAUACGUAGGUGGCAAGCGUUGUCCGGAAUUAUUUGGCGUAAAGCGCGCGCAGGCGGAUCAGUUAGUCUGUCUUAAAAGUUCGGGGAUUAAACCCGUGAUGGGAUGGAAACUGCUGAUCUAGAGUAUCGGAGAGGAAAGUGGAAUUCCUAGUGGAGCGGUGAAAUGCGUAGAUAUUAGGAAGAACACCAGUGGCGAAGGCGACUUUCUGGACGAAAACUGACGCUGAGGCGCGAAAGCCAGGGGAGCGAACGGGAUUAGAUACCCGGGUAGUC